GUGAAUCAUCGAAUCUUUGAACGCAAAUUGCACUCUCUUCGGGGAGUAUACCUGUUUGAGGGUCAGCCUAAAAAAAAUCGAAAUAGUUGCUGUUUUUGCGGUGACAUUUGACGGAAAUUGGGUCAUCUUAAUUCUUUGGGUUUUAAGCGGCUUAAAAUUUUCUUUACGGUUUCAACGGAUGUUUAUAAGUUUCACUCCUUACACAUGUUUAAGGUAUCGUUCUUUAUUUGAUGUGGAUGUUGCAUCGGUACUCG
rnacentral:misc_RNA from 1 species